rnacentral:misc_RNA from 1 species
UUUCCGUAGGUGAACCUGCGGAAGGAUCAUUAUUGAAUAAACAGUGGGGGUUGUUGCUGGCCUUCUGGCAUGUGCACGCCUGCCAUAUGUUUCAUUCCCUUCUUUCCACCUGUGCACUCUGUGUAGUCUAUGUAUGCUGUAUUGUCAGGCCCUUCAUAAGGCUUGGUUUAGAGAGGAGGCUUGUCGUUAUGAGACAGGCUCAUCUUGGGCGUACAGGUCUAUGUUUUACACCAACACCAAAUGAAUGUCUUAGAAUGUAUUUUUUCAGGCUCUUGCUAGCCUUAAAACCAUAAACAACUUUCAACAACGGAUCUCUUGGCUCUC